rnacentral:rRNA from 1 species
CAUGCAGCUCGUACCAGUGAACACCGUAAUUGCUCUGUGGGAUCAGUGGCGAACGGGUGAGUAACACGUGAGCAACCUGCCCCUGACUCUGGGAUAAGCGCUGGAAACGGCGUCUAAUACUGGAUAUGUGACGUGACCGCAUGGUCUGCGUUUGGAAAGAUUUUUCGGUUGGGGAUGGGCUCGCGGCCUAUCAGCUUGUUGGUGAGGUAAUGGCUCACCAAGGCGUCGACGGGUAGCCGGCCUGAGAGGGUGACCGGCCACACUGGGACUGAGACACGGCCCAGACUCCUACGGGAGGCAGCAGUGGGGAAUAUUGCACAAUGGGCGAAAGCCUGAUGCAGCAACGCCGCGUGAGGGAUGACGGCCUUCGGGUUGUAAACCUCUUUUAGCAGGGAAGAAGCGAAAGUGACGGUACCUGCAGAAAAAGCGCCGGCUAACUACGUGCCAGCAGCCGCGGUAAUACGUAGGGCGCAAGCGUUAUCCGGAAUUAUUGGGCGUAAAGAGCUCGUAGGCGGUUUGUCGCGUCUGCUGUGAAAUCCCGAGGCUCAACCUCGGGCCUGCAGUGGGUACGGGCAGACUAGAGUGCGGUAGGGGAGAUUGGAAUUCCUGGUGUAGCGGUGGAAUGCGCAGAUAUCAGGAGGAACACCGAUGGCGAAGGCAGAUCUCUGGGCCGUAACUGACGCUGAGGAGCGAAAGGGUGGGGAGCAAACAGGCUUAGAUACCCUGGUAGUCCACCCCGUAAACGUUGGGAACUAGUUGUGGGGUCCAUUCCACGGAUUCCGUGACGCAGCUAACGCAUUAAGUUCCYCGCCUGGGGAGUACGGCCGCAAGGCUAAAACUCAAAGGAAUUGACGGGGACCCGCACAAGCGGCGGAGCAUGCGGAUUAAUUCGAUGCAACGCGAAGAACCUUACCAAGGCUUGACAUAUACGAGAACGGGCCAGAAAUGGUCAACUCUUUGGACACUCGUAAACAGGUGGUGCAUGGUUGUCGUCAGCUCGUGUUCGUGAGAUGUUGGGUUAAGUCCGCAACGAGCGCAACCUCGUUCUUUGUUGCCAGCACGUAAUGGUGGGAACUCAUGGCAUACUGC